rnacentral:ncRNA from 1 species
AGUAGCCGUGUGCGGUGAAAGUCGCAAGCACGGUUUUGGAUGGGAGUAUCAGAGGGCGACCUCUGGUUCGACCCCUAAC